rnacentral:misc_RNA from 1 species
GCUCGAUGGAGAGUGAUAAAGGCACAGAUCGAGGUUCAAGCCCUGGUGGCUAUUCCGUGUUCUCUGGCUCUUCUUCACCUGGCAAAAACGAUUCUUCUUCUCAUGCUGAAAGAAAUAAAAAUUACUCAGCAAAAACAACUCCCAAGAAGUUCAACGUUUCUGAGUCUAGGGCUGCGCCUGAUCGUAUCUAUAGAAAAGAGCAUUCCGCACACACUAGUACCAGCACUG